rnacentral:rRNA from 1 species
GACGAACGCUGGCGGCGUGCCUAAUACAUGCAAGUCGAACGAGAGCGCCCGGUGCUUGCACUGGUCAAUCUAGUGGCGAACGGGUGAGUAACACGUGGGUAACCUGCCCAUCAGAGGGGGAUAACAUUCGGAAACGGAUGCUAAAACCGCAUAGGUCUUCGAACCGCAUGGUUUGAAGAGGAAAAGAGGCGCAAGCUUCUGCUGAUGGAUGGACCCGCGGUGCAUUAGCUAGUUGGUGAGGUAACGGCUCACCAAGGCCGUGAUGCAUAGCCGACCUGAGGGGGUGAUCGGCCACAUUGGGACUGAGACACGGCCCAAACUCCUACGGGAGGCAGCAGUAGGGAAUCUUCCGCAAAGGACGCAAGUCUGACGGAGCAACGCCGCGUGAGUGAAGAAGGUUUUCGGAUCGUAAAACUCUGUUGUUAGAGAAGAACAAGUGCUAGAGUAACUGUUAGCGCCUUGACGGUAUCUAACCAGAAAGCCACGGCUAACUACGUG